CGCCUCUCAAAGUGGCUGUGAAAUGUUUUAUGUAUUCAUAUCACAGCCAGCUUUGAAGAGCGAUU
rnacentral:pre_miRNA from 1 species